UACGUAGGGGGCGAGCGUUGUCCGGAUUUAUUGGGCGUAAAGAGCGUGUAGGCGGCCAGGUAGGUCUGCUGUGAAAACUCGAGGCUCAACCUCGAGACGUCGGCGGAAACCAUCUGGCUAGAGUCCGGAAGAGGAGAGUGGAAUUCCUGGUGUAGCGGUGAAAUGCGCAGAUAUCGGGAGGAACACCAAUGGCGAAGGCAGCUCGCUGGGACGGUACUGACGCUGAGACGCGAAAGCGUGGGGAGCAAACAGG
rnacentral:rRNA from 1 species